CUGGUCAUUUUGGCAGCACAUGUACUAAAAUUAGAACAAUACAGACAAGGUAAGCAUGGAUCCUGCCCAAGGACGACAUGCAAAUUUGUAAAAACGGGCCUAAUUGU
ensembl:snRNA U6 U6 spliceosomal RNA